GGUGGAUGUAGCUCAGUGGUAGAGUGCUUGCCUAGCAUGAGCAAAGCCCUGUGUUCAAUCCCCAGUAAUCCACCC
rnacentral:tRNA from 1 species